rnacentral:rRNA from 1 species
GGACCAAGGAGUUUAGCGUGUGCGCGAGUCACUGGGUGGAAAACCCAAAGGCCCAAUGAAAGUGAAGGAAACCCGCUUUCUGAGGGAGGAUGGGCACGCGGCCGUUCGCGGCGCUGCCCCGCACUCCCGGGGCGUCUCUUUCUCAUCACGAGUGGAGGCGCACCCAGAGCGCACACGCUGAUACCCGAAAGAUGGUGAACUAUGCCUGGCCAGGACGAAGCCAGGGGAAACCCUGGUGGAGGUCCGCAGCGAUUCUGACGUGCAAAUCGAUCGUCGGAGCUGGGUAUAGCGGCGAAAGACCAAUCGAACCAUCUAGUAGCUGGUUCCAUCUGAAGUUUCCCUCAGGAUAGCUUGCGCUCGGCUGAGACGAGUCUCAUCCGGUAGAGCGAAUGAUUAGAGGCCUUGGGGUCGGAACGACCUCAACCUAUUCUCAAACUCCAAAUUGAUGAGAUCCCCGGCUUGCUUGAAAGUGAAGCCGGGGACUUGGAUCAGAGUGCCAAGUGGGCCAUUUUUGGUAAGCAGAACUGGCGCUGUGGGAUGAACCAAACGCGGAGUUAAGGCGCCUGAAUCGACGCUCAUGUGAAACCAUGAAAGGCGUUGGUUGCUUAAGACAGCAGGACGGUGGCCAUGGAAGUCGGAA